UAAAAUUGAGUUUGCACACAAAAUGGCACCUCCUAAACAGAAGGUGGCAGUAACCCUCAAUAAAAAGGACGUCAAUCGCCAUAAAGGAAGAAUAAACAUCGUUUGUUUUGGGCGCCAAAAUGAAGACUCAGCAGCAGCAGUCAGUCAGAAGAACUCUCUCAGACGGACACCACGUUAUUAAAGUCCAUCAUCCUUGCACACACUCAAAAGCAUUGAUAAAUGCUGAAUUUAAAAGAAUCACUACUGUCUUAUGUUCCUGCGUGUCACCUGGACCUCCAAUCCAAAAACCUGACGAAACUCUUCUAUCAGAAAGGAGGACAGCUAGCAAAAAGACUUCAAACAAUGAAUGAUCAAAUGACAGAAGGCAUGGAUGAAGUCAGCAUCAGCGAGGUCAUUUGAAGACACCACUGUUGGGAUUUGUGCUCUCAAACAACAUGCUUCUUGUGAUGAAGAAGAGGAUCUUUGUAUAGUCCUGGAAGGCAUGAAGGUGUUGCAACAUCGUGCCACGUUGUUUGAGCUGAUGUAUGCCUUAAACCUGAACUAUCCUGAUCUCUGCUUUAUUUUUGAAGAAAUCCAAAAGAUUUUAAUGGAACUGCAUUGAGCGUAACUUUAACGAACAGUUUCUUUCAGUGAA